GACGAGCGGGGAGGGUGGGUAAUGUCUGGGAAACUGCCUGAUGGAGGGGGAUAACUACUGGAAACGGUAGCUAAUACCGCAUAACGUCGCAAGACCAAAGAGGGGGACCUUCGGGCCUCUUGCCAUCACAUGUGCCCAGAUGGGAUUAGCUAGUAGGUGGGGUAACGGCUCACCUAGGCGACGAUCCCUAGCUGGUCUGAGAGGAUGACCAGCCACACUGGAACUGAGACACGGUCCAGACUCCUACGGGAGGCAGCAGUGGGGAAUAUUGCACAAUGGGCGCAAGCCUGAUGCAGCCAUGCCGCGUGUAUGAAGAAGGCCUUCGGGUUGUAAAGUACUUUCAGCGGGGAGGAAGGUGUUGAGGUUAAUAACCUUGUCAAUUGACGUUACCCGCAGAAGAAGCACCGGCUAACUCCGUGCCAGCAGCCGCGGUAAUACGGAGGGUGCAAGCGUUAAUCGGAAUUACUGGGCGUAAAGCGCACGCAGGCGGGUCUGUCAAGUCGGAUGUGAAAUCCCCGGGCUCAACCUGGGAACUGCAUUCGAAAACUGGCAGGCUAGAGUCUUGUAGAGGGGGGUAGAAUUUCCAGGUGUAGCGGUCAAUGCCGAAAAGAUCUGGGCGGKAUACGAGUAGCAGAGGAACCCCCUGGU
rnacentral:rRNA from 1 species